CUCUAUUGAUCAGUAAUGUAUUUCCCACAGGAAAAAAUGUAGCACUGUGACAGUAUUGACAAGGCUGUGUUUGUAUGGGGAGAGAUAACUGGAUUUUUAUUUAUUUUUAAAUCGUGUUGAUCUUCAUCAGUGUGGGUAGCAUGCUCACAGUGGUGUGGGCUGAAGUAGGUCCUUGUAGCACAUCUGCCUUAAUGGAGAGCUUUGUGCUGCCUGCUUGCAGAGGGGUGACUGAGGGUGAAUGAAGUAGAGCUCGGGCAGCUGGUCGCAUGCCUGGUGUGGAUGUGGGCCCUGUCCUUCCCUUGGACUGCAGGGAGUCCCGCAGAAGGAGGGGAGAACCAGUUAACCAGUCCCACCUGCCUGGCGAAGCAGCAUCCAAAGGAGCAGCAGCAUUCUCAGGAUUAAAGGAGGAAAAAGGAAAUGAAAUGCAUUGCUAA
rnacentral:lncRNA from 1 species